rnacentral:rRNA from 1 species
UGCAGAAUCCCGUGAACCAUCGAGUUUUUGAACGCAAGUUGCGCCCGAAGCCAUUCGGCCGAGGGCACGUCUGCCUGGGCGUCACGU